rnacentral:rRNA from 1 species
UACGGGGGGAGCAAGCGUUGUUCGGAUUUACUGGGCGUAAAGGGCGCGUAGGCGGCCAGCACAAGUCAGUUGUGAAAUCUCCGGGCUUAACUCGGAAAGGUCAACUGAUACUGUGCGGCUAGAGUGCAGAAGGGACAACUGGAAUUCUCGGUGUAGCGGUGAAAUGCGUAGAUAUCGAGAGGAACACCGGUGGCGAAGGCGGCCCACUGGUCCGGUACUGACGCUGAGGUGCGAAAGCGUGGGGAGCAAACAGG